UGGGGAAUAUUGGACAAUGGGCGAAAGCCUGAUCCAGCCAUGCCGCGUGUGUGAAGAAGGUCUUCGGAUUGUAAAGCACUUUAAGUUGGGAGGAAGGGCAGUAAGCGAAUACCUUGCUGUUUUGACGUUACCGACAGAAUAAGCACCGGCUAACUCUGUGCCAGCAGCCGCGGUAAUACAGAGGGUGCAAGCGUUAAUCGGAAUUACUGGGCGUAAAGCGCGCGUAGGUGGUUCGUUAAGUUGAAUGUGAAAGCCCCGGGCUCAACCUGGGAACCGCAUCCAAAACUGGCGAGCUAGAGUAGGGCAGAGGGUGGUGGAAUUUCCUGUGUUGCGGUGAAAUGCGUAGAUAUAGGAAGGAACACCAGUGGCGAAGGCGACCACCUGGGCUCAUACUGACACUGAGGUGCGAAAGCGUGGGGAGCAAACAGG
rnacentral:rRNA from 1 species